rnacentral:rRNA from 1 species
AGUGAACGCUGGCGGUAGGCCUAACACAUGCAAGUCGAACGGCAGCACAGUAAGAGCUUGCUCUUACGGGUGGCGAGUGGCGGACGGGUGAGGAAUACAUCGGAAUCUACUUUUUCGUGGGGGAUAACGUAGGGAAACUUACGCUAAUACCGCAUACGACCUACGGGUGAAAGCAGGGGAUCUUCGGACCUUGCGCGAUUGAAUGAGCCGAUGUCGGAUUAGCUAGUUGGCGGGGUAAAGGCCCACCAAGGCGACGAUCCGUAGCUGGUCUGAGAGGAUGAUCAGCCACACUGGAACUGAGACACGGUCCAGACUCCUACGGGAGGCAGCAGUGGGGAAUAUUGGACAAUGGGCGCAAGCCUGAUCCAGCCAUACCGCGUGGGUGAAGAAGGCCUUCGGGCUGUAAAGCCCUUUUGUUGGGAAAGAAAAGCAGCAGGUUAAUACCCCGCUGUUCUGACGGUACCCAAAGAAUAAGCACCGGCUAACCUCGUG